AGAGAUGCAUUGGGCGUAAAGCGUGCGCAGGCGGUUUUGUAAGACAGAGGUGAAAUCCCCGGGCUCAACCUGGGAACUGCCUUUGUGACUGCAAGGCUGGAGUGCGGCAGAGGGGGAUGGAAUUCCGCGUGUAGCAGUGAAAUGCGUAGGUAUGCGGAGGAACACCGAUGGCGAAGGCAAUCCCCUGGGCCUGCACUGACGCUCAUGCACGAAAGCGUGGGGAGCAAACA
rnacentral:rRNA from 1 species